rnacentral:lncRNA from 1 species
AUCGUUGGGUAGAGGAAACAAACAAAAAAUCUGAUUUUGGAACUAAGUCUCGCUCUCGGUAACAUUUACCUUUUUAGGUAAAUAAUCAUUCAAAUUUAUAGAAUAACUGAAAUGUGAAGUUUUAAUACUGCUGUUAUGACAGAUUGCGCAUCACUAAAAGUCUUGACGAAUCACCAAGAACUGAUAUUUUUAGGAUUCUAAGUGUAGAGGCUUCAGAAUUAAUGUAUGAAUAUCCUUACAGUUUACAUGUGUUGAAUGUGCUGAGCCUGCAAACCCCAUUGUUGAGGAAUGUACAUGUGGUAAAUCAACGAGCCAUGGAAGCUUCGUUAACUUGUGGACGGUACAGGCUUUGGACAAGGACAAGGUUGUGUUGUGCUGCGUGAUGUGGAUGUGACAAGCCUAAGAAUCGAACGGUCUGCAGUUUACAUAGUAUGGAUGAGCAUUGCAGCAUGCCAUUGCCAGGGAAACAAGCUUAACCCCUAUCUGCCAGGUCACGCCUACAGCUGUCAUAACACUCAUGCCGGGUACGGCUAUAGGUGUAGUACCGCACUAGAGCGCGGCGGUCAGAAAAUCCCUGGAUGGUUGGCAGAAGUCACUCGAGUCGGUGACACUGAGAGAUUUUGAUGCCGUUAUUGAAAGGUUAACAGUAUACUAGUCUGACAUGCCUACGAAGGACUAAGUGGCUGUGCUGGAGAGCAAGCAAGAGUACAUCAGCUUGAUGAGCAGUAGAGCCUGCAAACCUCCAGUUGUCCAGGGCCUCUACAUAAAAUCCAAGCAUUGUAAACCUCCAUAAACCCAUGCAUAUUGUGCAGACUUCAGUUAUGGACUUGCAUUGCAGUAUUGUCAGUGAAAUAAGCUCCCAUGUGUAUCUAGACUGACAUGCCUACAAAUGACCAUAAAGGUUUAUGCUGGAAGGCAAGCAAGAGUACAUCAGCUUGAUGAGCAGUAGAGCCUGCAAACCUCCAGUUGUCCAGGGCCUCUACAUAAAAUCCAAGCAUUGUAAACCUCCAUAAACCCAUGCAUAUUGUGCAGACUUCAGUUAUGGACUUGCAUUGCAGUAUUGUCAGUGAAAUAAGCUCCCAUGUGUAUCUAGACUGACAUGCCUACAAAUGACUGUAAAGGAUUAUGCUGGAAGGCAAGCAAGGUUACAUCUAUUGGUUAAAUAUGCUGUUGGAUGUGGGAACAUCCUGUUGCAGGAGGAAUGCACUAAUGGCAUAGCCACAAGGCAUUGUAAUCUUUCUGCAAGUUUUGGCAACGAAUGAAUGAGCAUUGCAGUUGAAUUAAGAUCACUGGUGUACCUUGACUGAUAUCCUAACAAAGACAGAAGGCAGUGCUGCAUAGUCACAGGAUCCAUAUAACAUGCGUUGUGGAGCCUUUGUCAAGGGAUGCGUUUGGCAAAACGUGAGCCACUGUGAAUGUUCGUCUAGUGAUUUGGUCACUUCUCCAAUCAUUAGAAAAGCCUAAGGAGUCGGAGGAGAGCUCAGACAAAAGGCUUUGUUAGCUGCACCAGCAUCUUUGCUGCAACAUUCGUGGAGAAUAACCAGCCAUGUAACCUAUGGAGGUGGCACGUGGCCUGGGUUCAUGCUCUCCAUUCUCCUUAUUACUUGCUUGUAUUAUAGUUUUGAAAUGUGGCCAUCAGCCAUUCCUCGUAUAUUAUGGUGAGGUGCAAGAAAUUGACAAUUUUUGUGUAGAUUUAUAAUAAAUAUUGUAUUGUA